CGGGAAAGCAACACACACACCAUUUUUCCUGUUCUGUGUGAAUCGAAAGGUUUAUUUGGAACGAAAUCAGAGGUUUCAUAUCAAAACCUAUCACCUUGGGCCAGUGAGAUGACGAGGCCGGUAAAGGCACUUGCUGCCGAAGUUGUCCUCUGUCUUCUACUUGCAAGUGCAUGUGCGAGUGAACACACAAGUAAUACAUGAAAUUAAAUUUUAUAAAACUUAUUGCUCUGACAUUUUUGCUCACCAUGCCACAGAAUAAAGCACAAAGUCUUUAAUAUGUCUUACACAGCCACUUACAUUAGGACCCUGACUUUACCUCUUUAGCCUUGUGCCUCGCUCACUGUGUCCUCAUUUUGUUUUUUAUACAGUAUAGACUUCCUAAACUUCUUUCCAUUUCUUAACCUGGCUAUGCCAUGUGUCUCCAAAUUUCCACAGUGUCUUUGUCUGGGAUCCUCCCCCUCAUACCUUCCCUUCUUCCUCCUGACCAACUGCUGCUCAGCCCUCAGAAUUCAGCUUGGAUAUCCAAAUACUUCUUCCAGGACAGAUCCCAUUUCUGUUGGACCUUAUCAUCCUUGACAUCUGCUGAUUUUACCUUCUAAAAUAGUUCUCAAGCCUAUGGCCCCUCUUCUGUACCAGUGUUAACUCAGGGUUUUCUCAUCCUUGUGUGAGUUCCCCCAAAGAUCUCCUAUAGCCCCCACAAAUCACCAUAGUGGUUAUAUGGAACAAAUCUUACCAUGUCGUUUCUGGCCUCAGUGACCCUCAUUUUUCCAGAAUAGUUAAAGCUCCUUGGGUGGUGUGCUGGGCUCUGGGUAACCAGUUACUGCUUCUCCUCUCUAUUCUUGUUGUCAAACUCUCCUUAAUAAACACUGUUUUCUGGACCUCCCA